rnacentral:lncRNA from 1 species
GUGCCACUGCACUCCAGCCUGGGUGACAGAGCAAGACUCCAUCUCAAAAAGAAAAAAAAAGUCUGUUAAAAUAAAGGUCAUCAAAAGAUCUUUUCCUAAACCUUUCCUUUACCAGAAAUAUCUCUAGAGUCACAUGGUCCUUUCUCCCUUCUUGCUUUUGUAGGAGUCCAAAGCUAAUCUGUCCCUGAUCCGGAUUGCAGGCACCUGUGCCUUUUGGGGCCCUUCUGCAUUAGUUCUUCCUUCUCUUCUAACCUCAAAAAUGUGUUUUCUCUGUUGGCUCUUUCCCUUUAACAUAGAAGUAUACUCACGCUUUUGUUGAAUCUUGGAAUAAAAGUCUUCCUUUACCACAUAUCUCCCUUUAAUACUACAUCUCUCUUCUCAGCCAAAUACUUGGGAAGAGAAGCCCUGAGUUUGUGUCAUUGUUUUCUCACCUCCAGUUCACUACUUUACCCACUGCCUGACAUCCAGCUCGCUCACACACACACACACAAGCCCAGUCACUAAGUUGCCAUAGCUAAUUUGUAGCUUUCCUGCCCUCCUGGCAAAAUUUGACUCUGCAUUGGGAUAAUACAUGUUGAGUACCUAUUGAACAGGCACUGUGCUAGGUGCUGCUGUUAUAGAUAUGAAAAGAAGGCAUCAUCUCCUUUCUAACAACUCACAGGAGCAGCCAUUCCUGAUUCAUAUGCAGGUCUCUUGAGUCUCAUUGCUCACUUUUGCAAGCUUCACUUAAUGCCGUGCAAAUCACCCUAUUCUCCAGGUCUUCUUUCUUCCCAGUUCUCCUUACUAUACACAACUUCUCAGGGCAGUCACCUCCACACCCAUGGCUUCAAUUGCUUUCUCCAUUCUCUGAGAACAAUAGAAUUUUAAAUGGCUUUUUUUUCAUGUAUUAGCUUUAUUUUAUA